UAGUGUAUGGUGGACUGGCCACUCGUGGACUGAGCGGCUCACAGAAGUAGGGCAUGGUCUACCAUGCGGUCCAUAAGCUGGUGCACAUCGGGUUCACACAUGCUCCAUAGAAAUUUUAUCUUGAUCUUUUAUCGCAAUGCACAGGCUGGCAGAAGUCUUGUGCAUUGAUUGAUGGCUAAGAGGUGCUGAAGCAUGGCAUCAGAUGGUUGAGAAUGCGUG
rnacentral:lncRNA from 1 species